rnacentral:lncRNA from 1 species
AAACGAGUCCAGGUUUUGUAUUGACAACAUAAGCAGUUGAAGAUUUACAUGUGCUUUGGAACCAAUCUUUGGUUCAGUCUUUGUGUUGACACAUGUGUUAUCUUUUGCUUCAAUCUUCCGGCCAUUGAAGACCAUCAAUCGAGGGAAAAGAAGGAACCUGAUGAAAGAGAAAAACGAGGAAAAAAUUAAAACCAAACUCUUCCAAUGAUUGAAGACCAAAGAAGGGAAAGUAUGAAAGAGACAAGUGUCUUACCCAAACCAAAACCUUCCGGCGAUCGAAAACCAUCUGCCAAAGGAAAAAGAGGGGAAAAAUAUGAAAGAGAAAAACCAUAAAAAAAAUUUGUUGGCUUUUGACAUGGCUGAGACCUCACCAUCAUAUCCUCCCUGGACCUCACCUGGAUAUGGCUAUUUGCCUUCCAUGUGUAGGGCAAAAGAUAGGAAAUUAUGAGAGAGAAAAAGAAAAACGAGAAAAAAAUUGUUCGCUUUUUCUGUGGCCGAGACCUUUGACCUCUCCGCGACAUCCUGUGUUCUUUUUGCUCUGGCUGAGACCCUUGAUCUCACCAUAACAUAUUUUCUUGACUCCUUUCUGAGAUCUUCCUUUGGCUCCUGCAUUGACAUAUCCUCCCUUGCCUUCUUUUUGGGAUCUUCGCUUGGCUCCCACUUGAACAUCUUUUCCUUAGCUACUCUGUUCGCUUUUGCUCUGGCUGAGACCCUUUUGACUUGACCACACCAUGACAUCCUCCUUGGCUCCUCUCUGAGAUCUUCCGUUAGCUCUCACACUGAUAUAUCCUCCCUUGGCUCCUCUGUUCACUUUUGCUCUGGCUGAGAUCCAUGACCUCACCAUAACAUCCUCCUUUACCUCUUCUUUGAGAUAUUUUCUUAGCUCUCACAUUGACAUAUCCUCCUUGGGCUCCUCUCUGGGAUCUUCUCUUGACUCCCACGUCGACAUCCUCCCUUAGCUACUCUGUUCGCUUUUGCUCUGGCUAAGACGCUUGACCUCACCAUGACAUCCUUCCCUUUGGCUUCCACAUCAACAUUCUCUCUCGGCUCUCAUCAUGACAUCCUCCUUGGCUCUUCUCCGGGAUCUUCCCUUGGCUCUCACAUUGACAUAUCCUUUCCUUCGCUCCUCUUUGGUAUUUUUCCCUUGGCUCCCACAUCGAUAUCCGCGUUUGGCUCCUUUGUUCGCUUUUGCUGUAAUUGAGAUCCAUGACCUCACCAUGAUAUCCUUCCUUGCCUCGUCUCUGGGAUCUUCCGUUGACUCCCACAUCGACAUCCUCCCUUGGCUCCUCUGUUCGCUUUUGGCUCUCUCUAGGACCAUUGACCUCACCAUGACAUCUUUCCCUUCGCUUCCAUAUCGACAACCUCCCUUGGCUCUCACCACGCCAUCCUCUUGGCUCUUCUCUGGGAUCUUUCCUUGGCUCUCACAGUAGUAAUAUUCGCUUUGUUUAAAAGAAAUAUAUCACAAAUUGAAAGCUGGGCGAAUCUUUAAAUAUCUAGUGUCACUUUCAUACACAAUUAAUGUAAAAUUCAUGACUUUUUAUGAGAUCAUGAAAUUCUCUCUUGACUCACCCUAGGAACUUCUCUUCAGUAUGAGAUUUAUGGUUCAACUUGUUGGGAGCAUACAAUCUUCUUGAUAUGAGAUUCACAUUACUCUACAUUGAAACCAUGACACUCAAUCUCACUCUCAUUAGAACUAUGAUAUCCAAUAAAACGCAUGGCUCUCAUUAAGAUAAUGACAGAAGAUUUAUAUUAGCAAAAUUUUAUAUAUUUUAAAAUUUUAAAUUAUUUUGUGUUGAGAGUCAUAAAUAUAAAAUUUUGAGAUUUGAAAAGGAAAAGAAAUCAAUGCCUAAAACUAAAAUUUUAAAUCUUAAAAUCCAAACUCUAAAUCCUAAAUAAGUCCACGACACUCAAUACUAAAUGUCUUUAAACAUAGUUUUAUAAUAAAAUUUCAAUUGUUUUGGAUUAUAAAAUUUUCGAAAUGUAAACUUUUAUUUAUUUUAUACAGUAACAAUAGAAAAUUCUUAAUUAAACUUUCUUUGACAGUUUAAAGACAUGUUUAACCUUGCAACUUAAUUUUUCCUAUUUUUUGUGGUACAUGCGCUUUUCUAUUUGUUUUUUUUUUUUUGUUAAUAUAUAAGUUUAUUAGUAAUAUGAAUAUUUUGCUUGCCCAAUCAGAAUGGACCAAACGUUCUUGAGGACGUCGGGGUGGAAUUGGCAAGGACGAAAGCCGAGAAUAGACGCAUGGCGAGGUGGCUAAGGGCAAAGAAACUCUCAGUUAGACGGAAGAAGAAAGAAUUGCGGAGGAUAAAGAGAGUGAAGCAGCUACUUAUUGCGGCGAAUAAACGCAUGCAAGAAUUGGUCGACGAUUUUCUGUUUACGGCUGAAGCAGAUAACAAUCAUGUUCGCCAGAUGAAUGAAGCUAUCCAAGGAAUGAAUGAUCUCAGCCUCGAUGGAAACUAUAAUAUUACUACUGUGAACCAAGUUCAACCUUGCUGUAACAGUGGCAGCACCACUGAUGGCGACAACAACAGUUAUUAUCCUGGGGGAGGAGGCGGAAACAGCAGAGGUCAUGGCGGUGGCCACGAUGGUGGACGCCAUGAGUAGGGUGAUGUUGGAGCCCGUUUAACUGUGACUGCCUCUCUAGUGGCAGUAAAUAAUGUUGCAGGUCUUAAGGUCAGAGUUCGAACAAUUUGUUGUGUUUGAGUCAAACGGUAGCUGCUGGCUAGUGUUACUGCUUUCUUUUUUUGGUGAAUCUGUCUGUUUGAGUUCUUGGACUGAUGUUUUACUGGUAUAGUUUAACCAGUUGCAAUCAUCAGUCAAAAGUGUUAUUAAUUUUAAGAAAUCUUCCAUAAGUAACUUGUUAAUCAGUCUCCUGAAGCACACCUUUAUAUUUUUUUCAUGGAUGAUGCUAUAUACUACAAUGAAACAAUUGAUAAAAACAUUAAAUUCUCUAAUGCUUAACAAGGUUAUUCUCAUUCUAUGCCUUUAUAUAUAAAAUUAAGUAGAUCAAUGACCAAGGCAAAAUUUAGAUAAGCUUUUCUUAACUGAAAGUUCCUUUUAUUCUUUGGGUUCGAUUAACGGGUAUAUAUUUACAAGUAUAGAUUAAGAUAAAUUAAAAUAUUAUUUCUAAAAAAUAUUUUUCAUGUAAUUCACCAUGUAUUCUCAUCAAUUUUUUAAAAAAAGACAAUACAGAUUAUGUUAAUUUAUUAUAAAUCGGUAACGGAUACAAUUUCUUCAUUUUUUUUUUAUGUUUUAUACUUCACACAGAUUAAUUCAGUUGAUAAAGAAAAGAAUUUUUUUUUAUCAAGUUCGAUAUUUAAGAGAAGUAUUUUGAGAAGAAAAUCUUGAAUGCACAUGACACACGUAAAACUUAGAAAUACCUUGAUCUUAUUAAAAAAUAUUAUCCUUUCCGUAAUUAAGAAACUAUUUUAAAUGAAAUUUAAAAUAAGCAAGUCAAUAUAAAUAAUUUCAACAAUCCAAAUGAAGCCCAAAGUCCAAAACAGAGGACCCAUGCUUAGAGUGAAGUGCGUUAAAAGCAUGUUUUGUGUGGAUUUAAGUGUAUAAAUUGCUGCUGGAAAGUGAUUGAAACAUAGAUACAGCAUUAUUAGUGAUAACACGUUGGUGCUGGUAGAAAUGGCAUAAUGCUAGUUCACUAACUGUAUUAAGCAAAUAUGAUGUUGUUCUGUGGUGGAAAAAACUUGACAAAUAUGAGACAUUAAAUGGUUGUAAGGAGAAAUUCAGACUUGGGUUGACAUUAACUAUUCUUAAUGGAAUUAGACUAGUGCAUUAAUUUUUCUGUGUUAAAAUUUUUUCAAUUUAGCUAAUGUAUAGAUAAUUGGUGUCAAAGUUAAUCAUCGUCGGAAACCAAAACAGAGAGAAAGUUGCAACUUGAGCUGCCUAUGGAAGCCUGGCCCAAUUUGGCACGGGCUUAGGCCUAAUAAUUGAAAGCGAACCUUCUUUGCUCCCAAGCCCGAUUCUUCUAAACGAUAUUAAAUUGGUAAGAUUAGAUUCUACACAGAACGGUGUUGUUUUUUUUUUUAAAAAAAAAAAAGUCAGACCAGGUUGACCCUGAUCCAACCAUAUCAAAGUUGUUGGAAUGCGGCGCGUCAUCUCACGUGCGCGAGACGACACACAGAACGGUAUUGUUACUAAUUGAGACACAACUAUUUCUUUAGGACUUCAUCUAGGAUUUGACACUAAAUGAUCAUGGCUGCAUUUAGGCAUUAAAAAGAUACAAAGUUUUCCAAACCAUAUGCAAUUUGCAAAAGGCAAAUAAUUUCAAAAGUGUGGAGAGAGGACCAAGUCAAAUUCCUUUUUCCACAUUUUAGACAUUGUGCGUUUGAUCCAAAUAUCAUCGCACAUUUGCCUCGGUUCUAUGAAACUGGAAAACAAUAAAUACCCCUAAUUAAUUUCCCACUCUCUUGCUUGUUCCUUGAGUAAAAUUCAUUUUAAAAAAAAGAGGGCAAGAAAAAAAAAACAAAAGGAACAAGUAAAUUAGUACAUAAGAGUAAUGUUGAAAUUUUUUUGGUCAGCAUAUGGGAACUGAAAAAGCUACUACUAAUUAAUUUUAAAAUACAUAGCAUUGAUCUUAGUUAUAAGCCUUAAUUUGUAACCAAAAUGAUGAUAUUACUUAAUCGUCAAAAAUAAAAAUGUGUUUCUUAUCUAUCACUGUCACGAUCCAUUAUUCUUCUACACUAAUCUGGGAGAGCCAAUUCCCAACUCUUCUGCAAGAAUCACUGAUGGCCAGUUCCUCUGGAGCUUGAGCAAAUACCUGGACUCCUCUUGGUUAGUCCAGAGUUCUACCUGCUAACCAAUCAGCAAUAUUAUUUUCCUGUCUAAGCACAUGGAUGAGGCGCUAAUUCCAGCUAUUGUCAAAAAGUUUAUGUAUCGCUCUCACAAUUUGAAGCUAAAGGGUGGAAAUUGGACACACCAUGCUUUAUCAAGAUGGCUGAGUUUAAGAGAAUCAGAUUCAGUAUCAUGGCAGUUGAGGUCCAUGGUUGCACCUAGACUAAUCCCGUGGAAAAUGGCCCACAACUUAGCAAGUUCAAUUCAGAAAUCACCAAGGAAAAUAUGAAGCCUGUCACCCAAUACCCGGAUUUUCCUCUGAGGAGUUCUCCUCCAGCUCCGGCUUUGUUUUUUGGCUGAUCCCAGCUACCAUCAAUAUAAAGUUCAUGCCAACCCUUUUCUGGUUCCCUCCAACACCUCCGUUUUCUUGUUUCUUGAUUAUUUUCACGUCCUCGAAGACAAAUUCAGAUCAAACCAGUCUGAGUGAUUUCUGUUGUAGAACCUCUCUCGCUGACUUCCUGUUAGGAUUUUGUUCCAGAUUGGCUUUGCCUCCGGGCAAUCUCUUAAUAUAUGUAAGGCAAUCUCUAUGGUUCCCCCACAACCGGUGCGGCUAGCAUCCUCGCACAUAUUUCUUUUCAUUUGAUUGAAUUUUGUUUUCCGUAUUGUUUUGAGCACAAGGCAACUUUAUGCUUAUAUAUUCAAAAGUUAAAUAGUGCAAUGAAUUCAAAUGAAAAAACAUAUUAUCAUAAUAAAAAUUCCUAUAUAAUAUGUAUACAUGGGUCAAAAACUAGAAAGUAAUAGUAGUAACUAUUAAACCAAUUGCAAGUUUAAAACCUUUUAAAUUGACAUUUACGUGAACCUUAAUUAUGUAGACCCAAUUGAUGUUUUUGACGCUGAUCUAUGACUUGAGAAAAGACUACCCAUAAGACUUUUUUGUAAAUGAGUUAAGACUAUAGAAGUAAUAAUAAAUUGACUCUUCUUUGUUUUUGAUAAAUAUAAUAAUAUAUAACUCCAUUCACACCAUGCUAAGUAGUUUUCAAUGGGUGUUCAUUAUCGUCUCCCUAUGGCAAUCGUCGCAAGCAAACCGCACUAUUUUGACUGAUGGACAGGCUGCCCGUUUAACAGAUUUCCAAACCCCUUUAAAAAAAUGAAAAACAAAAAAAGAAGUAGUAUUUUUUCCGUUAACAUAAUUAUUACCAUCUUUGAAAAACCACAAAAUAUAUAAAUAUAAACGGUUUAUAUUAUUUUCUGAGUUUCUUAAAUUGAUUGAAAAGUUGAAGUUUUGGAGUAGUAAUAGUGUUUUUAGUUUGAAUAUGGCCUUCAUUUCUUGAACAUGUCAAAUAAAAAUGACGAUAAUUAUUAGAGAAAGGAGAGUUUUUUUUUUUUUUGGCUAAAACGGUAAAGUUUGAUCUCUUCUUUAUUUUUCUUUUUUUUUAAGAAUCAUAUUCAAUAUAUACAAUCCACAAUUCCGUAAGAAAAAAAAUAGUUAAUUGCAAAAGCUAUCAAGCUAUCUAUUAUGCAAACUAUGAAAAUGGACACCAUUUGUUUGUUUUUCUUUUUAAGUAUUUUCAACAGUACUUCCCAACUAGUUCUAAUUUUAGGGUAUCUCUCUCUUUUUGUAGGAGGCAAGGGAAUGGGCCGGGAAAAAGAGGGAAAGAGAGGACUCGGGUUAUCAUCCUAAAGAUCAUUAUCCCUCAGUACAGUCAACACGCUAAGGAAGCUUUCUCACUUCAUGUGCCAAAUGAAAAAGUGAGAGUUAAAGAAGGAAUAUUAUGUCUGGACUUUUGUUUUUAUAUCUUUUCUCUCGCAGAGAGAGAGAGAUUCUUUUCUUUUUUUUUUUGUUUUUCUUGUUUAUGCUAUCAGUCUAUCACAUUCAAUAAUUUGGGAUUUCAUUCUUUUAAAAAUAUAAAAAAAAACAUAUAAAUAAAAGAGUAUAUGAGUUAUGAGAUUAAAAACCUAAGUGCUUUUCUAAUUUUAUUUUUUAUACAGUGAUUUUCCGUAUGAAAAGUGAUAUAAUAGAAAUAGAACUGACUUUUGGUGGAGUUGUGAGAAACUUUUCUACUAUUAAAAAUGUAUAGUGAUCGUGGAUUGAUGUUUGUCAAAUACUUUCGUAAUUAUUUUAUGCAGAUGCCAAAAAAAAAAUAUGUAUAUAAGUUCCACCAUUCAAUAAUGAUUGCCUGGCUUCAAUCAAGAUUUUGGAAAGCCUUUUUGUCAUGCGCAAAAUGGAAUAGAUAAAAAGGUGCCGUAUUAGAUCGUUAAGCUUUAAGCUUUAAAAAUGGAAUCGUAUCGGGAAUUAUUACACGGAAGACUAGAAAUCCCCUGUUCCUUUAUGUGCCCCCUUAGGUGUCCUCUUUUUGAUUUAACGUUAAGUGUCCUACACCAUCCUACCGUGAAAUCACGUUAAUCUUUCACUCUCUCCUUUAACUAAAAGAAGAAAACAGAAUACUGAAAACUAUGACUUAUCAUCAUCUUAGCUUUAGCAUUAAGUUCACCAAGACUUGAUAAAAUUUCUAGAGAAAGAGCCAAAAAACCAAGGUGUUAACAAAGUCAAAUUGAAAAUCAAGCUCGCCUACCCAUUAUUUCAUUAAUCUUUAACAUCCAACCAAAAAGAAAAAAACAAAAAGAGACAUAGGAUAAUAGGUCUAAGCUUGAGCUCCCCAUUCGCAAAGCUUGAACCCAAACAAGGCGGCGCGCGUGGUUUGCAACGAUGAAACUCCCCGCAGAUCCCCCAUUUCCAAAGUUGGAACCCAAACUAGGCGCGUGAGUGCAACGAUGAAACUGUCCAUACUUCCUCAUUUGUAACGCUGGAACCCAGG